rnacentral:rRNA from 1 species
UAGGGAAUCUUCGGCAAUGGACGAAAGUCUGACAGAGCAACGCCGCGUGAGUGAAGAAGGUUUUCGGAUCGUAAAACUCUGUUGGUAGAGAAGAACGUUGGUGAGAGUGGAAAGCUCAUCAAGUGACGGUAACUACCCAGAAAGGGACGGCUAACUACGUGCC